UACAGAGGGGGCAAGCGUUAUUCGGAAUUAUUGGGCGUAAAGGGCGCGUAGGCGGCCUGUCAAGUGGAAUGUGAAAUCCCUCGGCUUAACCGAGGAACUGCCCUCGAAACUGCUUGGCUUGAGUCCGGGAGAGGUGAGUGGAAUUCCCAGUGUAGCGGUGAAAUGCGUAGAUAUUGGGAGGAACACCAGUGGCGAAGGCGGCUAACUGGACCGGAACUGACGCUGAGGCGCGAAAGCGUGGGGAGCAAACGGG
rnacentral:rRNA from 1 species